rnacentral:rRNA from 1 species
CAGUAGCCGCGGGAAUACGGAGGGUGCAAGCGUUAAUAGGAAUUACUGGGCGUAAAGCGCACGCAGGCGGUCUGUCAAGUCGGAUGUGAAAUCCCCGGGCUCAACCUGGGAACUGCAUUCGAAACUGGCAGGCUAGAGUCUUGUAGAGGGGGGUAGAAUUCCAGGUGUAGCGGUGAAAUGCGUAGAGAUCUGGAGGAAUACCGAUGGCGAAGGCAGCCAUCUGGCCUAAUACUGACGCUGAGGUACGAAAGCAUGGGGAGCAAACAGGAUUAGAUACCCGUGUAGUCCCUGUCUCUUAUAC